rnacentral:rRNA from 1 species
UCCAGACUCCUACGGGAGGCAGCAGUGGGGAAUAUUGGGCAAUGGGCGCAAGCCUGACCCAGCAACGCCGCGUGAAGGAAGAAGGCUUUCGGGUUGUAAACUUCUUUUCUGAGGGACGAAGCAAGUGACGGUACCUUAGGAAUAAGCCACGGCUAACUACGUGCCAGCAGCCGCGGUAAUACGUAGGUGGCAAGCGUUAUCCGGAUUUACUGGGUGUAAAGGGCGUGUAGGCGGGAAAGCAAGUCAGAUGCGAAAACCACGGGCUCAACCUGUGGCCUGCAUUUGAAACUGUUUUUCUUGAGUACUGGAGAGGCAGACGGAAUUCCUAGUGUAGCGGUGAAAUGCGUAGAUAUUAGGAGGAACACCAGUGGCGAAGGCGGGCUGCUGGACAGCAACUAACGCUGAGGCGCGAAAGCGUGGGGAGCAAACAGGAUUAGAUACCCUAGUAAC